UAGCAUUCCAUGUAGACUUUUGGCAAUGCAUGGCCGAAACCAAAACAACACCAAUUGUCGUUCACACAUGGCGUGGGACGCCUUUUAGGGGCAAAUAGAGACCGUGAUGCCUCGUACCCGCGAGGUACUCAAUGACCGUGAGAACGAACGUCGUGCCAUCCAUCCAACGACCCGAUAACAUUGAAGAAACGGGGGUUGGAUCAUGGCAUUCGCUUCGAAGUUCACCUCUUACCGCGAACCCAAGGGCUAGCGCAACUUGAGGGGAAAGGGCGUCAUUAAUCCAACAAAUUCCCAAAAUUUGGGUAUACAACACAAGAAACCGAGUUGGGCCAAGAUUCUUUACAAACUCCUGAACCCAAUUGCUGAAAAGGCUCGAUAGAUACAUUUUCGCUGCACAAGCAGGGAUUAAACAUACCCAUACAAACCGACCACCACU
rnacentral:misc_RNA from 1 species